GAAGAGGCGCUGCCUCCAGUCAAGUCUGUUUUUUUCAGGUGGGGACUGUAGGCCUUUGUGCCCUGCUGGAAAUCGUGAAAAGCAAGAGAGAAGAGUCCCAGUUAUUCUUGCUGCCUUUGAUAAGUGAAUUUAGGGCAACUACUAGUGCCAGUAGGCAUGGGGGAUCUACCGAUGAAGAAGACACAAAGUCUCCGCUCUCGUGGAGUUUACAGAGAAUAAUGAAUGAGAUUAAUUAAGAAAUGAAUGAGAUUAAUUGAAUGAAAUUGCCAGACUGAAUGAAGUGAAUGGCCUGAAUAUAAACAAUUUCCAAAUACAGAUAACACUGCAUAUCUGGUGUUUGCAAUACUCCCUUCGCACUUGAGGAAGAAGCACUAUGUCUGGGGCCAAGUGUGACCCUUUGUCUGUUGCUGGGUACCUUUCAUUUCGCACUUUCUCCUCUGCUGCUCUCCAGCACACUUACCCAUUGAUCCUCCUAUCAUCAAUAAGAAUCCGUUGAGAACAUCUUCCAGUACAGAGAGGAACCAACAUCUGGUUAAUUCAAACACAACCCCUGGGAUCAGAGGAAGUUAUUGUCCCAAAGUUGUGUGUCAUGCCCGAAGUGUCUGGGAUCCCCGAGUGCCUGUGGUGCCCAAGAGCUAUGAAUCUGCUAUCAUCAACACAGAGGGUACCUUCUGAAUGGGCUAUGUCUACAGUGAUGCUGCAAAUGGAAGCUAACCCUAGGAUGACUGGCCUCUGACACUUGAGCCAUCCCAUCAUCUGUCAUGGGUUGACCCAUCCAUCCCCUCAAUGAGCCUGACCUUCAGGACCACUGACAGAGGAGCAGUCAAUAGAAAUUAAUUGUUAAAUACCCAGAAAAUCUGAAAUGGUAUUUAAUAUGCAGUUCAUCAAGAGCAAAAGUUCCUUAAAUCUUCAUCUAGAAAAGUUAUUUAUAAGGGAUGAAUAUGUUGUAUGAAUAUGUUGUAUGCAAAUAUUAUAUUCAAGGGCAAGACCAUGAAAACAGUUUAAGAAUCCGACAGGGAAUUAGAUAAAGACAUCGGAGUGCACUUGUCAAAAUACAGCUAUCAAGAAUGAUGAUGUUGAAAAAUAGUUUAGCAAUAUAAUUGUCUAGAACCACAGGGAGUCUGAGAUUUUACCCAACUUGUGAGUUAACAACUCUGCUAUAGCUUCAUGAAAGAAGACACAAGACUCCUGGGUCAGGAACAAAGGUCUCUAAUACUCACAGCAAUAUCAGGAGCCAGAAUUUCAGGAUCCUUUUUCCUGCCAGUUUCUCAAGUCCUAAUUACCACCGAGUUACAGGAAAGGGCCAGGUAACACUAGCACUGCCAUCAGUGGCUGUAUUACAGAACAGGAACUCCAAGCUUAGGAAACCCAAAUCUUUUAUAGUUAACAAUGAACACAUCUGCCAUUGUUCUGAAGGGAGACGCUACCCCAAUCUUCCACACCUGUUCACUAUAUAAAUAUCUGUGAAAAGAUAGACAGAAAAAUAGGUGGAGAAUGCCUCUGCUCACAAGAUGUGCAGAAACGUGAGAGGCUCAUGGAGAACUGUUUCCCUACAAUGACAAAAUGCUGACGAUAUAUUGUUAUGUAAAAUAAAGCAGGCAUUUUUCACCUCAUUUUCAUGAAAUAUAGUGUGUUUAUAUAGAUAUUUAGAAAAGUAUGAAAGGACAUUCAUCCAGAUAUCAAUAGAAGAGUUUAUUAUUUUUGCUAGUUGUAAGUUCAAACUUUUCUAGUAAAAAUAGAUUACUUGUGAAAUUAUUUUUAAUCUUUUUUUUUUUUUGAGAUGGAGUCUUGCUCUGUCGCCCAGGCUCGAGUGCAGUGGCAUGAUCUCAGCUCACUGCAACAUCCACCUCCUGGGUUCAAGCAAUUCUCCUGCCUCAGCCUCCUGAGUAGCUGGGAUUAUAGGUGCAUGCCACCAUGCCCAGCUAAUUUUUGUAUUUUUAGUAGAGACGGGAUUUCACCAUGUUGGUCAGGCUGGUCUCGAACUCCUGACCUCGUGAUCUGCCCACCUCGGCCUCCCAAAGUGCUAGAAUUACAGGUGUGAGCCACUGCACCCCUCCUAAAUGUCAAUUUAAUAACUGAGGGAGCCCUUAAAAUACCCCGCUGACUUCCACACGGGUGUGUAAAAUAGAAUCUGCUCACGUCUUAGAGGAGAUAAGUACAUGCUUAAUGUUCUUAGGAGAGACCUGCCUUUUGACAUGGAAGCUGUGGUAUUGUUGACAAGAGCAUACCUCCUUAAACCAUGCAAACCACGUUCACAUCAAAGCUGCCUACGAAUGAUUAUUUUCCAUGAUGCUAUGCUCCCUCCUGCCUGCCUCAGUGGCAAGUGUGACUCAGCAAGUGUAUCCAGGGCAUCCCUCACUCUUACUUAUUUUUGCCAAAUGCAGUGGAAAUGUAUAGACUUUUUUUCAUAUUUAUGUUGGCUGCAGAGCAUAAAUCUGAAUAGGUUCUCCAAAGUAAGCUUUUUCUGCAUGCAUUUGCUCCCAAUGAUGAUAGGUAUUAUGAAUUGCUUUAUAGUAAUCAUUAUCCUUUUCCAUAUGUUUUACGGUUAGUCUGUGC
ensembl:lncRNA WDR11-DT WDR11 divergent transcript